rnacentral:rRNA from 1 species
AUGGAAUCUCGUGAUGCAACAUUUUUUGAGAACAUAUUUCCUAUGAAAGAUAUGCAUAGCAUUGCUAGAUUUUCUUCUGAGAUAAUUCAUGAAUCUAGUACAACUGAUGAAUAUUUCGAACAAUCACAUGAGGAAGUCCUUGAGAAGGAUAACAAUGAAGUUCCUAUAAGGAACAAGAGACAAAGGAUUGCAAAAUCCUUUGGUGAUGAUUUCAUUGUAUACCUUGUGGACGACACACCCAAGACGAUUGCAGAAGCAUAUGCAUCUCCGGAUGUAGAUGAUUGGAAAGAAGCUGUUCAUAAUGAGAUGGACUCAAUUCUUUCUAAUGGAACUUGGGAACUAACUGAUAGACCAUAUGGUUGUAAACCUGUGGACUGUAAGUGGGUGUUCAAAAAGAAGCUAAAGCCUGAUGGUACUAUUGAUAAGUACAAGGCGCGGCUAGUGGCCAAGGGCUACACUCAGAAAGAAGGCGAAGAUUACUUUGACACCUAUUCACCCAUUGCUAGAAUGACCACCAUUCGAGUGUUAGUUUCCUUGGCUGCCUCUUAUGGUCUUAUCAUUCAUCAAAUGGAUGUAAAGACAUCUUUUCUCAAUGGAGAGUUGGAAGAGGAGAUCUAUAUGGAUCAGCCUGACGGGUUUGUGGUAAAGGGUGAAGAGAGAAAGGUGUGCAAGUUGUUAAAAUCUUUGUAUGGUCUGAAACAGGCACCUAAGCAAUGGCAUGAGAAGUUUGAAAGAACUCUGACUUCCACAGGAUUUGUCAUUAACGAGGCUGAUAGGUGUGUUUACUAUCGCCAUGGUGGGGGCAAUAGUGUCAUAUUAUGUUUGUAUGUGGACGACAUACUGAUCUUUGGUACAAACAUUAAUGCAAUUAAUGAGGUCAAGUCUUUUCUAUCAAAGAGUUUUGACAUGAAAGAUCUGGGAGAAGCCGAUGUAAUUCCAAACAUCAAACUUAUUAAGGAUGAGAGUGGGAUUACAUUAACGCAAUCUCACUAUGUUGAGAAGGUCUUGAACAGAUUCGGUUUUAUGGAUAGCAAGCCUUCUCCAACACCUUAUGAUCACAGCGUGACACUCAGAAAGAACAAGAAAGAAACGAGAGAUCAAUUAAGAUACUCUCAAAUUGUCGGUUCACUCAUGUACUUAGCUAGCGCUACAAGACCAGAUAUCUCUUUUGCUGUGAGCAAACUGAGUAGGUUCAUGUCCAACCCGGGUGAUGAUCAUUGGCAUGCACUAGAAAGGGUCUUGCGCUAUCUGAGAGGUACUAUGAGUUACGGAAUUACUUAUUCAGGGCAUCCUGCUAUGCUAGAAGGAUAUAGUGAUUCAAAUUGGAUCUUCGAUGUUGAUGUACUCUACGCAACAAGUGGGUAUGUAUUUACUCAUGAUGGUGGCGCAGUGUCAUGGAGGUCUUGCAAGCAAACCAUAUUGACGAGGUCAACUAUGGAAGCAGAAUUAACUGCUUUGGACACAGCUACUGUUGAGGCAGAAUGGCUGCGUGAGCUCUUGAUGGACUUGCCGGUUGUUGAAAAACCUGUACCGGCUAUUCUUAUGAAUUGUGAUAACCAAACGGUUAUCGCUAAAGUGAACAAUUCUAAAGAUAAUGCAAAGUCAUCAAGACACGUGAAGAGACGUUUGAAGUCUGUCAGGAAGUUGAGAAACUCCGGAGUAAUAACUGUUACGUAUAUACAAACAGACAAAAGCCUGGCAGAUCCCUUUACAAAGGGACUAUCACGAAAUGUGAUAGAUAUUGCAUCGAGGGAGAUGGGUAUGAGACCCAUA